AUGGCGCCGAAGAAGACGUCGAAGGGCAAGUCCGGCUUCUUCGGCGUGAGGCAGAAGCCCUCCGGUAACUGGGGAGUGGAGUUCUCCGAUGCCGGGAGGCGUUGGUGGAUCGGCACAUACCCCUUCGCCCACGAGGCCGCGCGUGCCUACGACGUGGCGGUGUGGCGUGCCGGGAGGCCUCGGGAGCACCUCAACUUCCCAGAGAUCGAGAGUCGGGUGGAAGCGGAGAUGCUUGUGUCGCAGGGCAUCAAGAUGAAGGAGAUCACGACGAAGAAGACGACGACGAAGAAGCCGUCGGUUGUCGUCAAUGCCGACGAGACCAACGAGGAGGUGAUGGCGAGGUUUGCUUGGGAGCACCCGGAGUACGUCUAA
rnacentral:rRNA from 1 species